rnacentral:lncRNA from 1 species
CUCCGCGCUCCUCCGCGCUCCCGGUCCCGAUCCAAUGGCCGGCAGUCCUUACAUGAUUAACGAUUGUUUACAAGGCUGUAUUAGUAAUGGCCCAGACACACCAAAGGCAGGUGACGUGGAGAGGCGCUGGGUAUAUAGCUACUACCCCUAAAAGACGAUUUGCAUUUAAAAAGAUAAGGAGAGGGCAGCGACCUGAUCACAGCUAAAUAUUCAAGCCUUUAUUGUUUAAGAGCUUCCUCCUUCCAUUGCAACCUGGUGCACUUUAACCUCCAAUCACAGGUUCAAAGGAUGAAAUCAAGAGACUUGCAAAAGACAGAGAGGGAGAUCUAAGGGCGAGGGUGGGAAUAUGGGAGCCGUGUAUCACGGCCGAUCUGUAGGCAGCACUUUAGCCAGCUCUUCCCUGUGCUUUGGGAUUGGGGGGUGGUGGGGGAAGGGGCGGAAGAGGAGGGAAUUUUGAUUAAAAAUCCACAAAGCCGUUUUGUCGUGGUUGUUUUGAGCAACAAACCCCAUCGCGACGGCCUACUACUGCUUUUUUGUAAAACGCUUCCCUCCCGCUCCCGCUCGGUCAUGGGCGAUGAAGGCGAGGGAUCCAGUGUCAGCGGCCCCGGGAGACCGGGACGCUCAAGAAGGAAAGGAUGCAGCAUCUCUCCUUGGGAAGAGGCCACGGACGGACCCCUCGGAGUCCCUGUGGAUGUGCCGGAUGCGAGGAACGGGGUGUCCCCACCCCGCACACAGCCACGAACGCUUGUGCCUACACUGUCACUUGUUCGCAGGCUGUCGCAGGUGGCCGCGGUUGCAGCCCUACCAUAACACCAGCACAACAGCAGGGAUGCAGAGAAGCCUGCCAGGCGCUUUCUCUGGAGGGAAUUUCUCUCUUUGUUGCCUAUUCCCACCGCGACACUUUCCCCGUGCCCCGGCGGUGGGGUAACGAGGAGAGGGGAGCGGGGCUCGGAGCUCCCAGCGCUGUCUGAGCAGGAGACUGAAAUGUCACUCUGGAAAGGAAAUGCUAUGUCCCCUCAAUGCAAUCGCCUCUCCCGAUAAGCACCGACAGAGCCGAUCUAUGCAGAUGUGAAUUUGAUGAUGCCAUAAACAGAGAAAGGGGCCAUUAAAACGACAAAACUCUGGAUAUAUUGUAAUAAAACGCGCUACCACCCUGAUCA